GGAGUUAGCCGGUGCUUCUUCUGUGAGUGAUGUCCUUCCUGCCGGCUAUUAACCCGCAGGCCUUCUUCCUCACUGAAAGUGCUUUACAACCCGAAGGCCUUCUUCACACACGCGGCAUGGCUGGAUCAGGGUUGCCCCCAUUGUCCAAUAUUCCCCACUGCUGCCUCCCGUAGGAGUCUGGGCCGUGUCUCAGUCCCAGUGUGGCUGAUCAUCCUCUCAGACCCAGCUACGGAUCGUCGCCUUGGUCGAGCCGUUUACCUCACCAACCAGCUAAUCCGACAUAGGCUCAUCCGAUAGCGCGAGGCCCGAAGGUCCCCCGCUUUCCCCCGUAGGGCGUAUGCGGUAUUAGCCUGGGUUUCCCCAGGUUAUCCCCCACUACCGGGCAGAUUCCUAUGCAUUACUCACCCGUCCGCCGCUCGCCACCAGGGAGCAAGCUCCCCGUGCUGCCGCUCGACUUGCAUGUGUAGCUCGCCGCCACGCGUCAUCUGAGCAUAAUACAACUACUGA
rnacentral:rRNA from 1 species